AUGAACGCUCAUUCCUGUUCUUAUAUACAAGUUUGGAGGCUGCUUGAGAACCCUGAUUAUCUUUGUGCUUAGGUUUUGAGAGUCAAAUAUUAUCCGGAUGGACAGCUACUGGAUGCCAAGGUGAAAAGUGGAAGCUCGUAUACAUGGCAGAGUAUAUGUGCCGGUAUUAAUACAUUCAGGAGAGGGGCAAUAUGGCGCAUAGGUGAUGGAUCACAAGUGAACAUUUGGGCUGAUUCGUGGAUACAGUCGAGUGCCGAUGGCCGUGUCACUACACCACGAGGAGGGACCCUUCUGUCUAAGGUUUCGGAGUUGAUUGAUCCUGUCACUGGUUUAUGGGAUGAACAGUUGAUAAAUGAUGUAUUUUGGCCGGUUGAUGCGCAUAGGAUUCUUGCCAUGCCGCUGGCACCACAUGGGAUGAUGGAAGAUUUUGUGGCCUCGCGGUUUACAAGGAACUUCGCCUUCUCGGUCCGAUCAGCUUAUCAUGUGGAGUGA
rnacentral:rRNA from 1 species